AAACGUCGAGCGCGUCGCAGAAGUGGAGCAUUUUCAGUCGCCAAUAGACGAGGCGCUGCCAUGUUGCCUCACAAGGCAUUGAUUCAAAUUCGAAAUUUAUUCAAAAGCUUAAUAAAAAGAAACUAGCCGAGCACAUGGUGGUCCCCAGAAGAAGAUGAAGUGUGAAAAAUCUCUAGUAGCCAAAUAAAUAUUUGAUUUUACAGUACACAAGUAUUGUAAUGAAUAUUUAGUAGAAAGGAGAAAUGUUCAAGCAACGAACAAUAUCAAUUUUGAACUAAUCUACAUAUAAGUAUGUAUGUAUAUAUAUGUAAAUACGUAUUUAGAAAGUUAGCAAAACGGCGGCAUCUUUUAAAAUUGAUGGCUUAAGUUCAGACGGUUCACUUUUGAACAUGGUUGCCACCUUUCAAAAAUUGUAUUCGAAAAAUAUAAUAUGUAUUUAUAACAACGAAUUUCAUUGCAAUAAUUAUAGACUAGACGUCUAGAAGAGAACUAGCAAACCCUUCAGCAUUUAUUUCGCACGUGUUUCGAGCUUAAUCAGCGAAUGAGUGAAUGAAUAAAUGAAUGAAGAACGAAUGGAUUUUAUACAGUAAAUUAACAAAAAAAAAAUCACGAAAACAAAAACAAACUGCAAAUAAACUUAUAUACGCUAAUUUAUUAUAUACAUACAAGUAUGUUGAAAAUUAGGAAAAAUUCUAUAUACGAAUAUAUAUGUAUGUCCAUAAGUGAAUGUAAUUUAGAAGCACUGAAAGGUGCAAAUUCUCAACAAAAGCACAAGCAAACGAUGAUGAAAUAAAAACGCCAAAAUGCAAUUUUAUUUUGUAAAAUUCUAAAAUUACUAUUAAGUACUCGUAUGUAUGUAUGACUUUGAAAUGUCUUCCUGUAUACGUGUAAGUGUUCAUAUAUCUAUACACCAGUGUAUGAAUGUUUAUGAGAGAAUAUUAGUUUUGUCAUGUCAUCAAUUAAUUAAGUACACCUUUUUUCGAAUUGACAAGUAAUAGCGAAAAAUUUUAUUAUGCAAAAAGUUGGCUGAAAGCAGAAGGUAUAUAAUA